GCGUUCCUGUGACUCAGCGGGUAGAGCAUUGUGCUAACAACACAAAGGUCAUGGGUUCAAAUCCUGGGGAAAGCA